rnacentral:rRNA from 1 species
GGUGAGUAAUGUCUGGGAAACUGCCUGAUGGAGGGGGAUAACUACUGGAAACGGUAGCUAAUACCGCAUAACGUCGCAAGACCAAAGAGGGGGACCUUCGGGCCUCUUGCCAUCGGAUGUGCCCAGAUGGGAUUAGCUAGUAGGUGGGGUAACGGCUCACCUAGGCGACGAUCCCUAGCUGGUCUGAGAGGAUGACCAGCCACACUGGAACUGAGACACGGUCCAGACUCCUACGGGAGGCAGCAGUGGGGAAUAUUGCACAAUGGGCGCAAGCCUGAUGCAGCCAUGCCGCGUGUAUGAAGAAGGCCUUCGGGUUGUAAAGUACUUUCAGCGGGGAGGAAGGGAGUAAAGUUAAUACCUUUGCUCAUUGACGUUACCCGCAGAAGAAGCACCGGCUAACUCCGUGCCAGCAGCCGCGGUAAUACGGAGGGUGCAAGCGUUAAUCGGAAUUACUGGGCGUAAAGCGCACGCAGGCGGUUUGUUAAGUCAGAUGUGAAAUCCCCGGGCUCAACCUGGGAACUGCAUCUGAUACUGGCAAGCUUGAGUCUCGUAGAGGGGGGUAGAAUUCCAGGUGUAGCGGUGAAAUGCGUAGAGAUCUGGAGGAAUACCGGUGGCGAAGGCGGCCCCCUGGACGAAGACUGACGCUCAGGUGCGAAAGCGUGGGGAGCAAACAGGAUU